rnacentral:rRNA from 1 species
UACGUAGGGUGCGAGCGUUAAUCGGAAUUACUGGGCGUAAAGCGUGCGCAGGCGGUUUUGUAAGCCAGAUGUGAAAUCCCCGGGCUUAACCUGGGAAUGGCAUUUGGGACUGCAAGGCUUGAGUGCGGCAGAGGAGACUGGAAUUCCUGGUGUAGCAGUGAAAUGCGUAGAUAUCAGGAGGAACACCGGUGGCGAAGGCGGCAUCCUGGACCGGCAUUGACGCUGAGGAGCGAAAGCCAGGGGAGCAAACGGG